UUGAAAUUUCCAUCUACAAAAACCUUAGAGAACUACAUUUUUAUACAAUCGACUCCAUGCUUUUAAUUAUAAAAUUAAAAACUUUCUGGAGCUGACUACAGUACUGCCAAGAAAUAACUUAUCAAAAACUGCGUCCAAGACGCGGGUAUCUUGCGUCCACUGUGCGUCCACGGGCGCCCGCGGGUGCGUCCGUCCUGCGGGCGCCGUG